rnacentral:lncRNA from 1 species
GUUCAUACCGAAGGCCUAUAUUUCUUAUCUCUACUAUUUGAAUUUUUAUUUUUAUUUCAAUUUAUAUGAGUCAUUUAAUUUAUGAUAAAUAUAAACAAAUAUAUAUUAGAAAAUAAGUCCACCGAAUUUUUGCUAUUAUCUAAUUUGAACCAAUUAAGUAGCUCUCACCAGAUUCGACUCAAAUUCGAUUCAAACAAAUAAAUUUAUAUUUAAAAGGAAUUUAUCCUAAGUUUUUAUUUAGGCGUGUUUUUAUGAUGUUUGGUGUGAGUGGUAGAAGUGAAGUAAUUUGAGUGUUGGGGAGCUUGUCCAUGAGUCACUUAUUGACUGGGCAACCCUACUACUCCUAUGAAGGUAGCUAUAAGGGUGUUAAGCUGUCGUCUGUUAACUAAGUACACAUUUCCAAUUGGCUUCUUUUUUUCAGUCUGAAAGAUAAGGAACUUUUUCACAUUAAUGUUGACAUUUAGAAAGCACAUGUGUGACACUAAAAUAUCUAAAUUUUUUUUCAUUUUUACGCUAUCAGGUGAGCGAAUUCCACUAAGAUUAUACUCAAUCCCUGAUUGACUCAUAUAAGGCAAUUGAGGUGUCAUUUUUUUUCCACCAAUCAACUUCUUUAUUAUUCCUUCACCACCUGUCAGCUUACAACUUAACUAUAAAUAUCUUUUCAAAUUUAUCUAAAAAAUAAUAAUAUUGUAAAAUAAUGGUGUUAGAGAGUAUCAUAUAUUACAAAAAAUAAUAAGGAGAUAAGUAAUAUAUAUUGAUUUUAGGAUAAGAAAACUAUCAAUCUCCCAUGAAAGAAUAUAUGAGAAAUAUUUAUUUUACAGUGAGAAAGUAAAUUUAAGGUCUUUUUUUUUAAAUUUUAAAUAAGAUACUUCCAUUUAACUCAUCACAAUGAUUCAAAUAUAGACAUUUAAACUCUCAAGUAUAACAAUAAACAUUCUUUAUUUUGAUAUACUUUUUUUUUUCGAGGUAAAGACAUUAUAGUAUAUCAAUAGCUUUAUCUACCUCCAAGGCUCCAAAAUAAAAGAAAAUCACUUAUGCAAAAGAGUUUAGAUAUUUCUAAUACAAUGGAGGGACUAACUGUUUCAUUGAGGCAAAUUAAAAAUCUUCCUUUUUCUUUCUCUCUUCUAUGCAUUCACUUCUCAAAAAUCCUUAGUCUGGCAACAAAAAAAUGUUCUCACCUCUAAGACCUCAAAGAAAACUGCAAAAAAAAUCAAAAUAAUAAUUAUUGCUGAUUUCAGAUUGAUGGUUUUAAAAAAGAGUAAAAAUCAAUGGGAUGGAUUGAUGAUGAGAUUUAAUCAUAUUUUCAAUUGUACACAAGAGUGAUGAUGCAAUUUUCUUCUAAUUUCUUCUCUCUCUCUUUUCAUGUCGAUGAUGGGACCUCGCUAAUUUGUCUAUGAUGAAAUAUAUACAUGGUGGAAGCCUCAUUUACACAUUCAACUUUGCAUUUAGCCCAGACAAGCGGAGAAGGGCCUGGUUUUAAGGGGAAAAAAAAAUGCCCCGCCCAUAUUUAAAUUUUAAAUAAAAAAUCGCACCUAAUUACUUGAUAAAUUUCAUUUUUUUAAUGUUUAAUUAUAUCAUAUCCAAGUGUUCUUACAAUAACUAAUGCAAUUUAUGAGGAUUGAUGGUACGCUAGUUGGAAAAUUUUAUUUUUUACCAUUAUUCCAUUAUUUGUAUCAACAAAUACAUGUACAUAGAUCGAAUGGCACAAAAUUGUUUCCAUGAUUAUGUUACUAAUUAUUAUUGUUUCCAUGUAGAAAAAGGUUUGUUGUACAUUGAUACUUAUUUUCAUCCGUAAUUAAUUUUCUACUUUACACUCAAAAUCUGUUUUUUUUUUUUUUCCAUCACUAAGUUUGUUGAUUCCAUAUAUAUAUAAGUGCAUAAAUUGAUUUCCAAUUCCAUUAUUGGUCCAUAUGGAAAAAAAAUUAUUGUACUUUAAACAUUGUUUUCCUUUUUUUUUGGUAAUUACUUGACUUUUAGAAAAUUUUAAGAUCAUUCACAUACAAUUUUUAACAUUAGGAUUGUCUUGUUUUAAAUAUGGGAUAAGGGCUGAGCCAGCCCGAUCACCCGAACAUAUUGGAGGGCUGGAUUUAGGCUUGGCCAAGCCUAGCCCGUUUGCCAACCCUAUGGAAAGAAGAAAAUGACUUUAAAAUAUGUAAUAGGACCCAUGGUUUUAUUUUCAAAAAAAUUGUCAAUCUCAAUAUGGACCAUUGAAAAAUAACUAUAAGCCAAUGUAAAAAUUUGUGUUUGAAAACAUAUCCUUGAAUCAAUUGCUUGAAUUUAGAAGUAUAUCCCUUGAAUCAACUGCUUGUAUUUAAAAGUAUAUCCCUUGAAUCAACCACUAAUUAAUUGAUUAAUAGUAAAAUUUAUUGAUAUAUUUAAAUUCUAAAAGAAAAUCAAGGACUUCACUGGAACUAAAAUAUUUUUAGGCUGUGUUUGGUAUUGAGAAACUGUAUUUUUUAAGUUACAACUGUUAUGGAAAAAAACUAUAAUUAUGAAAU